UUCCCAAACGAUUUGGAGUGUGGGGGCGGGGCUUAAGUGAUGCGUGUGUAGAGAAAACGAAUUUUAUGGUUAACUUAAUGAUAAUAUUUUAUUAACAAUCACACUCUCUCUCUCUCUCUCUCUCUCUCUCUCUCUCUCUCUCUCUCUCUUGAUUAUGGAAUGUAUAUCUAUAACUAAAUGAAGGGUUCUCAACUUUGGGGUAGACGUAUCUCCUGUGGUAGACUACUGGAGAGGAAUUCUGUGGAUACGUGACAGGUAAUACAAUAGUCACUCUUGCUAGUUUUCUAUAGAUCGCGUCGUUUCUCACGCGUACGAAACAGGUACCGUCAUCACAAGCACGACUGUUAACACGCAGAUAUCAAAAGAUUUCCUUCUCUCGUGUGUCAUACUUUGAAGGUUUCGAGCAUGGAGAAUUGUUAAAUCAAGAGCAGGUACCGUCAUCACAAAUAAGACAUCAGAAAAUUUCCUUCUCUCGUGUGCCAUGCCUUGAAAGGUGGUGAAGUAGAAGUGGCUGGACACUGGAGUAUGGAAGAAUCAUCUAAAAUUUUUAAGUCUCCUCUCAGGGAAAUCAGUCGGUCGGGAAAAGCUUCUCUCAGGAAUCCCAUUGAAAUGCGUGCAAUGUGGGCUGUGGCCCCAUCUUGCUGGAACCACACGUUUCCAUUAUCCAGGUCCAUAUUAAUGAG